rnacentral:misc_RNA from 1 species
AAGUCGUAACAAGGUAUCCGUAGGUGAACCUGCGGAUGGAUCAUUACUAAAGCGUCCAUCCUACGUUAUGUGAACUGUUUUGAUUGGUAGUGGUCAGUGCUCCCACUCUGCGACACUGGCCAUACACUGAAUGUACACUAAACUGACUGAGAGACUACUACUGCUGUAGUAACCAAAGAGAACUUUUAGCAACGGAUCUCUUGGCUCUC